UUUGAUGUGAAUUAAUUUAUAUUUGGAUGCACUUUUUUAAAAGUGAUUCUUAGGAAUUGAUGUUCUUUGGAUGA
rnacentral:pre_miRNA from 1 species